rnacentral:lncRNA from 1 species
AUCUAAUCCAACCGUCCACCUGCCGCCAGUAUUACCACGAACCAUGUCCCUCAGUGACGCAUCAUAUCUCCGCGUUUCUUGAAUUCGGUGCCUCCCCCACCUCCUGAGGCUCCUAUUUAUCUCCACUCCUCCCGAGGAGAAGUUGUUCCUGAUGUUCAAUCUGACACUGAGCCCUCUUCCUUCCCCAAGUCCCGAGAGAGGUGAUAGGGGACCGGGGCUGCUUACCACCGAGGCACCACGAGUUGGGUGGUGGUGCAGUGAAUGAGGGCUUGGUUCAUGUCACACCAAAGGGAUUGGGAGAAAAAUCAAGGGAAGAGAUGGGGUCUUUUACUGGAGCAACCAACAAGCAUACACCUAGAAGGAAGACCAGACCUUUGUUUUCCAGCAAACAUCUUCCAGAGCUGUAAGCAUCCUCAUCAGAUAAAAGCCAUCUCCGGAUUGUUUGUGAGCACUGACCUUGGGUGUCCUCAUGCACAGAGCAGGUAUGCUGGUGCUGAUGGUAUAUGCAGAUGUUACUGCCUGGAAGCUGACAUUCUUCAUGUUGACUGUGAUGCUAGAAUGUAGAGGUGAGCAGGGUAAUAUACCAGGGACAAGUUUAAUAGAAUAGGAAUAAUUACAGAACUGGGCACUGAAAAAGUCAGCAGAGGAAGGGAGGUUUUCUAGCCAUCAGUGCAGUUUACACGUGCUACAAAAAGCUUAGUAGAAUAUUUCUUUAAAGCUCUUCCUCACAGUGGUUUAUGAAAACACUGGGUCAUUUUGACUCUCCAAUUUUCUAAUUUUGGGGGGAUACAACUGCAAAUGAGGGCGAGGUAGCAACACAUCGCCUUUAGAGCUGAACAAAUGAAUGGGACGUGCUCCUGCCACAAACCACACAGUGCUGCCUGUAGGCAUGCAACACAAAUGUGACUAGGGUUAUGUAGAAAUGAACAGUGAAUGUUCUCCGCUUUUAAAAUCAAGUGGCAAAGUGCUUAACAUCAAAUGAAAUGGAGAGGUCACUUAUCAAUACUUUCAGACAUUAUUGUACAAGCAAGUUGAAAGAAUUGGUUUAAUCAUUAGGGAACCAAAUGAAAACAAUGGGGCGUUUACAUUGAAUUAGCAGGGAUAUUUAUAACAUUUAAUGAAAAGAUUUUCACAGCAGUUUUAUUACCGUGCAAUCAAUAUGGCUAAAAUAACCUGAUUUAGCCAGAAAGUCAAUAUGCAGUGAUUAAGCAAAUUCCACAAAUGACAUGCAAUCCCAUUAGCACUACCAAGCCAAAUUCUCUGCACUUUGAAGCAAGAAAACAAUGGGGCUUUUCAGUUAAUUAUCCAGGCACUGAACGAUGCUAGACAGCUCUCCAGUGGAGUUAAAGGAAAUGUGAGCUGGCACUGGCUGGGGAGAAGGAAGGGCUCAUUCAUCUUCAGAGAGACAAGGGAAGCAACGUGGCUGCAUGAGAUGAGCACAGCUUGUCUCUCACCUUGCAGAGCUCUCAAGGGGGCUUGUUUCACCUGGAAUUGAUACAGUAUGGAAGUGUGUUAGGUCGUUUUGCUCUCCAUUCCUGGCAAGGAAGAUUAUGCAGAGAAAGGG